UACAGAGGUCUCAAGCGUUGUUCGGAAUUACUGGGCGUAAAGGGUGCGCAGGCCGCGCGGGCAGUCAAAUGUGUAAUCCAGGGGCUUAACCCCUGGACUGCGCUUGAUACUUCCGCGCUCGAGCUUUGGAGAGGAGUCUGGAAUUCUCGGUGUAGCAGUGAAAUGCGUGGAUAUCGAGAAGAACACUUAGGGCGAAGGCAAGACUCUGGACAAAUGCUGACGCUCAUGCACGAAGGCUAGGGUAGCGAACGGG
rnacentral:rRNA from 1 species